ACUACACACCUAGGCUAUGUGGUACUCAUCUUACGGGACUACCAUCAUGUAUGUGGUCCAUGGUUGACCAAAACAUUGUUUGUGGGGC